AAUGUAGCUCAGAGGUAGAGUGCUUGUCUAGGAUGCAUGAGGCACUGGGUUCCAUCCCCAGCAUU
rnacentral:tRNA from 1 species